UUGCCUGGCGGCCUUAGCGCGGUGGUCCCACCUGACCCCAUGCCGAACUCAGAAGUGAAACGCCGUAGCGCCGAUGGUAGUGUGGGGUCUCCCCAUGCGAGAGUAGGGAACUGCCA
rnacentral:rRNA from 1 species